AGCUUUUGACCUUGUCCGAGAGAUAACCCUCACAAACUCCAUCUCCUCCGCUUGUCUCGUCUCUUCGCGUCAUGAUGCAGCAGCCACCUCCAGCCGCUAACGGUGCCGCCGCCGCAGGGCCAGGAGAUCAGCAAGCUUACCACCACCACCAGCAAUCCUGGAUGAUGCAGCCCCACCAAGCUCAGCCACCAGCAGGAUGGAAUCCCCAAUCAGCGCCGUCUCUAGGUCAACCACAACAAUACAGCGGUGGAUCUCAAACUCCAGGAUCAGGCGACGAGAUCCGAUCCUUGUGGAUCGGAGACUUGCAGCCGUGGAUGGACGAGAGCUACCUCGUCAACAGCUUCUCCAUCACCGGAGAGGUAACACGAAAGCUUAUAUAUAAACCCUUUGAAGAAAGUUUCAACCUUUAUUCAUUUUACAUGAAACCCUUAUCGAAAGUUUUAAACUUUAUGUCGAUAACUGUGUCUUUAGGUUCAACAAGCUAAAGUCAUCCGCAAUAAGCAGAGUGGAUACUCCGAAGGCUACGGCUUUAUUGAGUUUGUGAGCCACGCUGCAGCCGAGAGGAUUCUCCAGACUUACAACGGUGCUCUAAUGCCCAGCAGUGAGCAGACCUUCAAGCUGAACUGGGCUGGUGAGAGGCGCCAGUCCGAAGGGCCUGAGCACACUGUUUUCGUUGGAGACUUGGCGCCUGAUGUUACUGACUACAUGCUUACCGAGACGUUUAAGAAUGUGUAUUCAUCUGUCAAGGGAGCUAAGGUUGUGGUUGAUAGGACUACGGGACGGUCCAAGGGGUACGGGUUUGUUAGAUUUGGGGAUGAGAGUGAGCAGAUAAGGGCUAUGACAGAGAUGAAUGGUCAGUAUUGCUCGUCUAGGCCUAUGCGUACUGGUCCGGCUGCUAACAAGAAGCCUCUUACAAUGCAGCAACCUGGUAUGUUUUUUGUUAACCGUGUUUUUUCUGAUACUUGUGAAAAAUAUGUUGAGUGGACUUGCGUUGUCUUUUAACUGUCUAUGUUAGUUAAUUGUCUCUUCUGUGGGGUGUAUUAUUCUAUUGGUUUUGAAGAACUCUUUUCCUUCCGCUUGUUGCCUUUCCGCACAUUUAAAUGUCACAAAAAAGCAUCAUAAAGCUUAUAAGAGAAAAACUCAUGUUGUCUUAAAGCAGGAGAACAAGGGGCCUGGAACUGACUUCAGCUGAAAAUGAUACCACCUUAUUGGCUGGCCUCAUUUAGGUCAGUUGGUUUUGUUUUCAGAAGAAAGUUAAAUUACCAGCAGCUUUUUAUUUAGCUUUCCAGUUCCUUAUCAAUCAUACGUCGCCCUACCUUUAAGUUUUUUUCGUUUUUCAUAUUAUACUUCUCUUCCAGUUUGGAAUCUUUAAAGAGUUUUUGUAGUCUUUUUUCAUAUCUCUCAGUUUAUCUUCUUCAGUAGUUAGUGUUGCAAUUUUUUUCCUUCUUUCAGUUACCAUUCUCUUAAUUUAUGCUAUAGUAUCAACUCUUUGUAUCAUAGUACCAAUUCUUUGCAAGUUGGAUGCAACUCUGAUUGGUACUAUGGUAAAGACUAAAGAGUGUCAGACCUCGAGUAUUUUGGUGUCAUUCUCUAAUUUCUCAAAGUUGAAUCCAACUUUUGCCUGGAACGCCCUUAAUGCUUUGUCUAUUAUCUACUAACUUCAGAAUCUCUUUACCUAAAUCUUCAUGUUGUAUCAUUUAUGCCACUAUCUUUUAUCUGUUAGACAUUUUUUGGAUCUUGAUUUGGAUAAAUGUUGGAACUCUUGUCGUUUGUGCAUGUUUGCUUUGGAAUAUAGAAGUUUGAGUUUUCUCCCCUAAUGUCUCUUGUCUGUUAUUUGCAGGUGGAUAUCAGAACCCUCAAGGAAAUGCCGGAGAAAGUGAUUUAACUAACACAACAGUGAGUACUUUGUUUUGUUUUGGUUUCGUCAAGUCUGUUCUAUGUAGGGUGUAUUGUGUGAAUUUAAGCGUCAUUUUCCCUUUACCAGAUAUUUGUUGGAGCGUUGGAUGAAAGUGUGACAGAAGAUGUUUUGAAGUCAGUUUUUGGUCAGUUUGGUGAACUUGUUCAUGUUAAAAUACCAGCUGGAAAACGUUGCGGAUUUGUUCAAUAUGCUAAUAGGUAGUGUAACCGUGAAGAUGAACUUCCUCUUUAUUUUUGAGAAUGUGUGUUCACAUUUCUUUUCUAUCUAUGUGUGUGCUUCAGGGCAUGUGCAGAGCAAGGACUCAACGCCUUGAAUGGAACACAACUUGGCGGACAAAGCAUUCGUCUUUCAUGGGGUCGCACUACUUCCAACAAGCAGGUUUGUAUCCGUUACACAAUGCAACAAGUUUACUGUUCUGUAGUCUGUUAUCUGAUGACUUCACCAUGUUCACAGACUCAGCCUGAUCAAGCACAGUACGGUGGUGGUGGUGGAUACUAUGGGUAUCCUCCUCAGGGAUACGAAGGUUACGGAUAUGCGCCUCCUCCUCAGGACCCUAACGCCUACUAUGGUGGCUACCCUGGUACCGGCUAUGGAAACUACCAGCAGCCUGGUGGUGGCUACCAGCAGCAACAGCAGGUACUUUUUUCCUUAAACUCCCGAGGUUUUAAGCAAAUUGAAAAAAAAAGUAUAUCCAUCAUGGUUUAAGACUCGUAUAGAGAGAUUACUGAUUGGUCUUCCGUCUGUUUGUUCUUCCCUAUUGCAGUGAAGCAUGAUGUUAAUGUCGUGGUCGAGCUGAAGUACUAGAAAGCUGUCUGUGAUGGUGAAUGAAUGAUUGAAGUCGACGUGCAUUAGCUAAUAUUCUCUCUACAACUCUUCUUUUCUUUUCCUUUGUUUUCUCUCGCGUGACAAUUGUUGAGUGCCCUCCUUGAAGUCGUAUACGAAAGAGGCUUUAGCUGAAAUGCUUUUUGUUUGUCAUUUGACUAUUACAUUUCUCUUUGUUGUUUCAGUACUUUUCUUUUGCAUCCCUAAUUCAACAGAUUCUAAAAGGCCACAAUAUCACUUAUGGUCACGAAAUCUAACAUUUUAGUUCUGAUAAAUCCUUUAAGAACGCAAAUGUCAUAGUUAAACAUUUAGGAAUCUACUGUUCACGCUUUUUACAAAGCUUUUAAGAUUACUCUCCAGAUGGGUGACCAAAGAAAUGAGUGGAAAAGAUUACAAUUAUUCUUUGACAAAUUAGAAGAGGAAUAGAUUUUUUUUUAUUCCAUUUCAUUCAUUUUUUCCUAUUCCUUUUGUGGUUACCACCAGUUAGAGCCUUAAUGCUAAUGACACCAUGCACUUUCUCAUUUCUCUUUUCUUUUGAACAAAACACUUUCUCUUUUGAACAAAACACUUUCCUACGAAGCAAAUUAAAAAUACUGGAAAAUAUAUUAUUAUUCGAUCUGUGCCCGUACCUAGCUAAAACACAAAAGAAUCAUACUCCUUCCGUUUCUAAAUAACUGUCCCUUGAUAUUUUUCACACAGAUUAAGUAAAUGGCCGAUAUAUAUGUUAGUUGUUAUUAAUUAUACUUCUCUGACUAAUAAUAUUUUAAAUAAAUAAAAUUAUUUAUAAAAUCAAUGCAGUUUUCAAUUAAUUUUUAGUUGAAAGUAAAUAUAUUUGCAUUAAAAUUGUAAAGUGAUAUUUUUUUUGUAAAAAAAAAAAAGUAAAAAUGACAUUUAUUUUGAAUAGAAAGAGUAUAAGAUAGUUAAUAUAAUGAGCCUAGUUUCCACAAAACCGGCCCAACAGAAAACCAAAAAUAUCUAAACGGAGUGACACCAUUUAGAUUGGCCCACGGCCAUGUGAGGCCCAAAUAACAAGAUAUUUUGCUUUUCUUUUGAUUCUAUAAAAACGUAACCGAGACAGCUUUUGACCUUGUCCGAGAGAUAACCCUCACAAACUCCAUCUCCUCCGCUUGUCUCGUCUCUUCGCGUCAUGAUGCAGCAGCCACCUCCAGCCGCUAACGGUGCCGCCGCCGCAGGGCCAGGAGAUCAGCAAGCUUACCACCACCACCAGCAAUCCUGGAUGAUGCAGCCCCACCAAGCUCAGCCACCAGCAGGAUGGAAUCCCCAAUCAGCGCCGUCUCUAGGUCAACCACAACAAUACAGCGGUGGAUCUCAAACUCCAGGAUCAGGC
rnacentral:lncRNA from 1 species